AGUGGAAUAACAGGGUCAAAUGGUGAUUCCAUUCCAAGUUUUCUGAGGAAUCACCAGACUGCUUCCAGAGUGGUUGCACCAAUUUGCUGUCCUACCAGCAAU
rnacentral:pre_miRNA from 1 species